rnacentral:rRNA from 1 species
UACGGAGGGUGCAAACGUUGCUCGGAAUCAUUGGGCGUAAAGCGCACGUAGGCGGACCGCUAAGUCGGAUGUGAAAGCCCUCGGCUUAACCGAGGAAGUGCAUUCGAAACUGACAGUCUUGAGUAUGGAAGAGGGUCGCGGAAUUCCCGGUGUAGUGGUGAAAUGCGUAGAUAUCGGGAGGAACACCAGUGGCGAAGGCGACUACCUGGCCUGUUCUUGACGCUGAGGCGCGAAAGCUAGGGGAGCAAACGGG